rnacentral:rRNA from 1 species
UACAGAGGUGCCAAGCGUUAGGCGGAAUCACUGGGCGUAAAGGGCGCGUAGGCGGCUUUGGCAGUCGGUUUGUGAAAGCCCGGGGCUCAACUCCGGAUCUGCGGUGGGUACGGGCAGACUAGAGUGAUGUAGGGGAGACUGGAAUUCCUGGUGUAGCGGUGAAAUGCGCAGAUAUCAGGAGGAACACCGAUGGCGAAGGCAGGUCUCUGGGCAUUAACUGACGCUGAGGAGCGAAAGCAUGGGGAGCGAACAGG